CCCAAACACACCCCAUCUGCUCCCUCCUGAAGGUGUGUGAUCACAGGUAUCUUACCUUGUUCCCUCUGGACUGACAGAGUCUGUUUGCUGUGCCUGCUCCAAAGCAGUGUUUACUAAUGAUGGUAGAGGAGAUACAUAAUUUGAAUACCUGAGUAGAAGUCUUUUAUAUCAGCUCAGGCCUGAAGAUUCUUGCGUAAUUUUCAGAGAGAAAGAGAGAGAGAGAGAGAGAGAGAGAGGGAGAUGAGUGUGUGUAUGUGUGUUGGGGGUGGUGGUGCUUGAAGAUUCAAGAAUCCAUGGAGAUCAACAAAAUAGUUCCCUUAAUCUAUGGAUGAGACCAAGCCCACAGCUGUAAUUAACAUCACAGUGGUUGCCUCAACAACAGAUAAAUUCCUCUUUUCAGCUGAAGGUUGAUGUCAUGAAAGUGAUAUUUUACUGGCGAGAUAUUGCUGAAAUCUGUUUGCUUAACAAAGCAAUUAUUGAUAACUUAUAAUUGCUUAUUGCUGCCCAAAUCAUCAACUUGUUAGCAAAAGCAAUCUCACAUCUCAAUAGUGAUAUGUUGCUUCUAUUUUAGGGAAGACUGACAAGUAAUUUUUUUUUUCUUUCACAGAGAUAUGUCAGAGAACAACAACCUUUAAACUAUGAGUUGUCAUAUUGGCAUAAACUGGAUCGGUGUUCCCAAAGUACUGAAAACACUAUUGGAGUUUUCUGCUUCAGAAGUCUUGACCUUUGGCCUUCAAUCGUUUAUCUCACUUUAGACUAAUGGCAAUGGAUAGUGGAAACAGAUGUCUAAUCUGUGGUGUCACAGUCGCAAGAUCUUUUCUUUAGAGAACUCAACAUACAGGUAUCUUCCAAGGAGCAGAUAAACUCAUCCUGAAGUGCUCUCAGAAUGCAAACGUUUUCUUUGUAAUUAUAGCAGAAAAAUGUAGACAUCCAAGGCAGGCCUUUGUCAACCUUGAAGUAGGUAUUUUUUUUUUAAUUUUUUUAUUUUUGUCAAGACUCUUCUCAAUAGAUAGGAGCAGCUUCUGGUAACACUGACCCAUAGCUUGAGAUCUUGAAGUUGUACUACACUGGUUUUGAAGUGUUACUGCUCCCAGUUCUCAAGGAAGAGCUCCUCUCACUGACAUGGCUCACAAGGAUAGUUGUACCGUUCAUACCACUUUAAGGCAUUGCUUCUUUCAGAUGGCAGCAAUCAGAAUAGGGUAAGAUCAAGACUGUUUUCUGGCAGCCUUGUUACUGGUACCACGUGACAUUUAUAGAGAAUGUUGUGCCUUUGUGAAGUACACUUAAAUGCAUUACAGAGAGAGUCGGUGUAGCAUAAAGGUCAAAAACAGGGCUUUGCCAUCAAGGUGACAUAUAUUUUCAGCCACAUAAAGGCUCAGUUUCUUUAUUUGUAAAAUAUGGAUAAUAGAACCUAAGUUGCAGCAUUAUGGUAAUGACUGGCUAUAUGUAAAUAGCUUCGUCUGGUGACUGUGCCCUAAAUAGCAUUACAGAACUAGUGGCUAUUAUUGCUACUACCAUAAUAAUGCAGGUUCCUUUUCACCUUGUUUCAUAUAUUUAGAUCUUAAAAGAUUCAUUACAGAUUUGUUGUGAAAGCAUAGAAUUUAGGGAAAUCUGCAUCAGAGUUGAGGUCCCUGCAAACCCAUCAAGAAAUACACACACACACACACAAAAAAAAAAAAAACAAGAUAGGCAUUUGAAUCCUCUGUGACCAAAUAUAUCCCAUUCUCAUUGAAACCUCCUCCAAGAUCAUGGGGCUCCAGCUGACAUUUAAAUAGUAUCUUCAAAUACUGUAAACAUUGGCUCAAAAUUUCUUCUAGGUUAUCAAUUUUAAACCAGAGUCUAAAAUUUGGAUAGUGCUGACAGUGCACCAAGUAAUGCUGAACAGAUUGAACGCGCUGCUUAUUUUUGUGCUCCAUGCCAUCAGGAACACCUUCUUUACAAUCUUUUUUUUCCGAGGUGCUAAUUCACUAAACAAGCAGCACACAUUACCCCAGGCACCAAAUCCUUCGAGAUGUUCCCAAGUUGCCCAUAUUCCUCGUAUUCCCUGGGAUGGUUUGGGGGCCACAGAAAGCCCAACAACUGUUUCAGAGCCUGCUGCCUGGGGUGCCCUAGAAUUAUGCACAAAUAAAACCCCGGGGGGAGAUGUAAGAUGCUAAAGUAAGCAUCUUAAAGAGUGGGUAGGAAAGGACUCAAAGGCUUAAAACCACCCAGCAAAAUUCAAAUGAGAAAUGGGUAGGUAGUUACAAAAAGGAUCUGGAUUGCGAUGUAAAACAAAAUACAAAAAUAACAUGCUGAAGCCUGACAUUCUAGUGUAGCAAACCCAGUCACUGAUUCUGAAACGGAAUACUAUUCUGAUAGGCUUCACUUUAUAGGAGUCCCAAAUGCCGGAAUUAGAACUAAGGCAUACAUAAACUAGAGGGAGUCCUUUAAAUAAUAAGUUCUUUUUGAGAAUUAAAAAAAAAAAUGACAGAUCUAAAAAAUGAUAUAUGUCUAUCUUUUACAGGGAUGCACUGAAAUUUGUUGAAACAUCUAAGCUAUCAUUUCCCUGAAAAAGCCUUCAAGGAGAGCAGGGGAGCCCCAAGCAGGCAGUCUCAGCCUCCAUUUGCCAUAAAUUGGAAAUGACAAAGAAUGUGAUAACUGGAAUCAAUUUGCUUUGACCUUGAUGUCAUUCUCGCACUUGGAACCAUUUACUCUGUUUUCUCCCCGUGCUGGUCACAAGCACUUUCUUCUUUUUUUAGCUAUUCAUUGAGAGAACUUGAGAGAGAAGUUUGAUUUCAAGGGUGGUUUGAAUGUUGUCUGCCCAAUGGGUUUAAGAGGCCUUUGCCAUUUUGCUGUUUUCAUCUUCUUUGUUCUUUGUGUCUAUUACUAUGACUUCGGGUUUGGUGUUAAGAUGUGUGGGUGUGAGCACGUGUGUGUGUGUGUGUGUGUGUGUUAUUUGUUAUAGAUGGUUAUCUUUAGUUGCAGAAUGAUGCUUUUGAGAUGGCAUAUCAGUUUUGGUUAAAUUUUUGAAGGAGUCAUGCAUAUUAUCUUGGUAUGUUUUGCUUGAGUAGAGAUAAGUGUCCUUAUACUCCUUUUUAACACCAAAAAAGAUGGCUAUAAUAACAGUUGGAUCCUGUUUUUACAUAGGAUAUCCAAAAUAGGAAAUUAUCAUUGAGCAAAGUGUACCCAGCAAGAAAUAUUUUCAUAGUUUGCUAUUGUUUUAUGAAUCUUUAAUAUAUUUCCAUUCUGAUGUUAGGCUUGGUUUAGUGACACAUCUCUGUAUUCACUCUGAAAUCUAAAAUGCAUUUCAAACCUUCCUGAGCAUGUUCAUAUCUCCCAACCUCAUCAAGGUACAGUGGAAUGGAGUAUACUUUCUAGUUCUCAUCAGUAGUCAGAAAGUUUGUUCAAACUGAUCCUUCUACAAUAGCAGGGGUUUACAGCCCAAAGUUAGUUUUAUGCUUCCUCAACAGUUUCCAACUUUGAAGCUUUGAAUCAAUGACUUGGUAUCUGAAAAGCCUUCUCCUGCCUUUACAGUUCCCAGGAGAUAUUGCCCAGAAAAUGAAGACCACUCAUAACAAAGAUGGCAAACAGAAUUCACCAAAGUUGUUCCUAACCCUUACCCUACAGAGAAUCUUGUUGGAAUAGGCACAUGUGGAUUGGCUCUGUCACCCUGGGUCAAGUUGCUGGGAAUUCUCGCCUGGGAGCCUGUGUGGGACAGCGAAAGCUGAAGUCUUGGGAGUGUAGAGGGAGCAAUGGGCUGAAACAAGAGUGUCACAUUCAGGGGGACUUGGGUGACUUUGGGAGCUGAUGAAUAGAAUGUGGAAAUUAAGAGGAGUGUGGUAGUGUGGGCUGAAGUCUAGGCAGUCAGACUAAAAUGCAGUGAGCAACCUAGUCAUGGACAGUGUGAGGGUGGGUUGGAUUCAUUUACAGGAUUUUGGGGUGGGAUUAAAAUACAAGAUACACACUGACCCAACCUACCUACCACAUCUUUUUAGAUUGACAAAUUUUAUCUCUUAUAUAUAGAGAAUGACUUUAAUUUAUCCUGAAGUGGUAUCUUUUGAGUUUCAAAAUGGGAAACAGAUUAUAUUUAAAACAUUCGAUAUUCUUACUUGGUGGUUUAAAUGAUG
rnacentral:lncRNA from 1 species